GCGUGAAGGACGAAGGCCUUCGGGUUGUAAACUUCUUUGAUCAGGGACGAAAGCAAUGACGGUACCUGAAGAACAAGCCACGGCUAACUACGUGCCAGCAGCCGCGGUAAUACGUAGGUGGCGAGCGUUAUCCGGAUUUACUGGGUGUAAAGGGCGUGCAGGCGGGUUCGCAAGUCGGGUGUGAAAUAUCCGGGCUUAACCCGGGGAGGUCAUCCGAAACUGCGGAUCUUGAGUACUGGAGAGGAUAGUGGAAUUCCUAGUGUAGCGGUAAAAUGCGU
rnacentral:rRNA from 1 species